CACUCGGAGAUGUUGGAAGGCAGGAGGUUUAUUUUACACCGUUUUGCCUCUUUUUCUCAGCUGACACUGAGAAAUGUCAUAAUUGACAUUAUGGAAAGUGGAGUGACGUUUAUGGAGUUCAUAAUGGAAACAUCAUACAAAUCCUACACCAAAGGAUUUGGAGAGCAUCCAGGCUGAACACACUGAGGUGCUGGGAGGGUGGUGCCCUCAGAGGGUAUGGAAGCUCGGUGUCCCCUCCCAUAUACCUUGCCCUGUGCCUCUCCUCCAUUUGGCUGUUCUACCUUUUACAAUAAACUGAAAAUAGUAAGUAAAGCA